UAGAGAUGGCGUUUCACCGUGGUCUCCAUCUCCUCACCUCGUGAUCCGCCCGCCUCGGCCUCCCAAAGUGCUGGGAUUACAGGCGUGAGCCACCGCGCCCGGCCAGAAGUCAGCUUUUUUCUUAAUGUGGAGCUCCGGUUUCUUGCUGAGCCAGGAAUCACCUAUUACUAUCUGAUUUGCGGGGGACACAAAGAAGGAGGAAAAAUCACCAGGGUGAAGGAAGGCAUGAAGAGAAGGAAAAAGAAAACAAAAUGAACAGAAGAUAAAAAUCCAUGUUACAGACAUUGUACAUGAGAUGUCACAAUGCUGUAGUUCCUGGGACAAGGGAAAUCAUGGACAAAAGCUCAUUUAACCCCAGCUUUCUGCUUGGAGGCACUUCAAGACCAUCAUACAAGGAGAAUGAUCCCAAGUAAAGCGAGUGAGUUUUAUUGAAUUAAAUAGAUAUCAGAAUUUGAAGAGGAUGAAAUAGCUAGAAAUUGAAUAGCUGAGAAUGAGGUGGUUUUUCAUACACAAAACUUCAGGAAUCUUCAUAUGGACAUAAUUAGGUGAUACAGAAAACUAUGUUUGAAGGCAUUACAGAAAUUUUACAAUGUCAGGAAAAGAACAACUGAGAAUAAAUGAGCCAAAGUUUUGGAAAUGUAUACAGAGCUGGGUGACCUUCACAUUCAAACAAAGCAGAGUGAAGAAUCUUUAUCAAACUCCUCAGUCAUUAAGAAGAGACCUAGAUUGUCAUUCAGGUGAGACUUUAGUAAUAUUAAAGUAGACUUAAAAACUAAAAACCACUCUAAAACUCCUCUACCAAAGUUGAAAAUAAGUCACAAAAGGAUCAAGCUGGGUAAACUGUAGGUUAGCUGAUUGCCAGAAAAAAUAGGGACAUUCUUUGGGAUAGGGAGGAUAAUAAAAUCUGUUACACACACCAAAAAUAGAAAAAACAAAAUGCUCAAUAUUCAAUAAAAAAUCAAUAGUAAUAAAAGAAGGAAAGUAUGACCCUAAAGCAAGAGAAAAUCAGUAAAUAGAAACAGAGUCCAUAUUAUAGAAACAAACCUUAAAAAGCUAUUAUAAAUAUACUUUAUUCACUCAACAAUGUUGAAUAUAACAUUAACACAAGGAGAUAAAAUAGACCACAUCAAAAAAGCCAAGUAGAACUUCCCAAGAUAAAAACAUAUAUGAAAUUCAAUAUUCAUUGGAUGAGAUUUAGAACAUACUAUAUACACUAGAGAAAAAAGAACAGUGAAUUUACACAUAUAGAAUGAAGAGAUAAAAAUUACAGCAAAGGCCGGACAUGAUGGCUCACGCCUGUAAUCCCAGCACUUUGGGAGACUGAGGAGGGCAGAUCACGAGGUCAGGAGAUUGAGAACAUCCUGGCUAACACGGUGAAACCCCGUCUCUACUAAAAAACACAAAAAUAGCCUGGCGUGGUGGUGGGUGCCUGUAGUCCCAGCUACUGGGGAGGUUGAGGCAGGAGAAUGGCGUGAACCUGGGAGGCAGAGCUUGCAGUGAGCUGAGAUGGCACCACUGCACUCCAGCCUGGGCAGCAGAGCAAGACUCCAUCUCAAAAAAAAAAAAAAAAUUGCAGCAAAAACAACCUCAGUGAUCUCUGGAAAAAUGUUAAGUGGACUAACAGGCAUGUAACAGGAGUGCCAAGAAAAUCAACAAAACAGAAAACUAUUUGAAGAAAUAAAGAAUAAAGCUUUCAAAAUCCAAAGGAAAAUUACAGUGUCACAGAUUCAAAAUCUCAAUGAAUUCAAGACCAAUAAACACAGAGAAUAUCACCUCAAGAGACAAGACAUCACACAUAAGUUGUUAAAACCCUGUGAUAAAGAUAAUUUGUUAUAACCUUGAGAGAAAAUGAUACAUUACAAAGAAAGAAAGAUAAGAAUUUCGCUAGACUACUUAUCAUUAAUUAUCCUUGCCAGCAAUGAAAAAGCAUCUGUAAGGUUAAAAAUAAACCUAUUAAUGAUAGAUUCUAGAUAGAGUGAUAGUUGUUUUCCAGAUGAAGUAAAUGAAGACUUUAUCGCACAAUGCAAAGCCUGAGAAAAUUAAUAUACUGUGAGCAAACCUGAACUAUAAAAAUGUAAAAAAAAAAAAAUGGGGGCUGAAGGAAAAUAAUAAAAGAUGAAAACUUGGAUCAGCACAAAGGAAUAAAAAGCCCAAAGAAUGGUAACUGUCAGGGCUCUGAGCCCAAGCCAAGCCAUCGCAUCCCCUGUGACUUGCAUGUAUACGCCCAGAUGGCCUGAAGUAACUGAAGAAUCACAAAAGAAGUGAAAAGGCCCUGCCCUGCCUUAAUUGAUGACAUUCCACCAUUGUGAUUUGUUCCUGCCCCACCUUAACUGAGUGAUUAACCCUGUGAAUUUCCUUCUCCUGGCUCAGAAGCUCCCCCACUGAGCACCUUGUGACCCCCGCCCCUGCCCACCAGAGAACAACCCCCUUUGACUGUAAUUUUCCAUUACCUUCCCAAAUCCUAUAAAAUGGCCCCACCCCUAUCUCCCUUGGCUGACUCUCUUUUCAGACUCAGCCCACCUGCACCCAGGUGAAAUAAACAGCUUUAUUGCUCACACAAAGCCUGUUUGGUGGUCUCUUCACAUGGACGCGCAUGAAAUUUGGUGCCGUGACUUGGAUCAGGGGACCUCCCUUGGGAGAUCAGUCCCCUCCUCCUGCUCUUUGCUCCAUGAGAAAGAUCCACCUAUGACCUCAGGUCCUCAGACUGACCAGCCCAAGAAACAUCUCACCAAUUUCAAAUCUGGUAAGCGGCCUCUUUUUACUCUCUUCUCCAACUUCCCUCACUAUCCCUCAACUUCUUUCUCCUUUCAAUCUUGGCGCCACACUUCAAUCUCUCCCUUCUCUUAAUUUCAAUUCCUUUCAUUUUCUGGUAGAGAUAAAGGAGACAUGUUUUAUCCGUGGACCCAAAACUCUGGCGCCAGUCAUGGACUGGGAAGGCAGCCUUCCCUUGGUGUUUAAUCAUUGCAGGGACGCCUUUCUGAUUAUUCAUCCACGUUUCAAAGGUGUCAGACCACGCAGGGACGCCUGCCUUGGUCCUUCACCCUUAGUGGCAAGUCCCACUUUUCUGGGGGAGGGGCAAGUACCCCAACCCCUUCUCUCCAUGUCUCUACCCCUUCUCUGCUUUUCUGGGGGAGGGGCAAGUACCCCUCAACCCCUUCUCCUUCACCCUUAGCGGCAAGUCCCGCUUUUCUGGGGGAGGGGCAAGUACCCCAACCCCUUCUCUUGGUGUCUCUAUCCCUUCUCUGCUUUUCUGGGGGAGGGGCAAGUACCCCAACCCUUUCUCUCUGUGUCUCUACCCCUUCUCUGCUUUUCUGGGGGAGGGGCAAGUACCCCAACACCUUCUCUCCGUGUCUUUACCCCUUCUCUGCUUUUCUUGGGGAGGGGCAAGUACCCCUCAACCCCUUCUCCUUCACCCUUUGCGGCAAGUCCCGCUUUUCUGGGGGAGGGGCAAGUACCCCUCAACUCCUUCUCCUUCACCGUUAGCAGCAAGUCCCGCUUUUCUAGGGGGCAAGAACCCCCAAUCCGUUAUUCCCACACCCCGACCUCUUAUCUCUGUGCCCCAAUCCCUUAUUUCUGUGCCCCAACCCUUUCUCUGCUUUUCUGGGAGGCAACAAACCCUCACUCCUUCUCCGUGUCUCUACUCUUUUCUCUGGGCUUGCCUCCUUCACUAUGGGCAAGCUUCCACCUUCCAUUCCUCCUUCUUCUCCCUUAGCCUGUAUUCUUAAGAACUUCAGACCUCUUCAGCUCUCACCUGACCUGAAAUCUAAGCGUCUUUUUUUCUUCUGCAAUGCCGCUUGACCCCAAUACAAACUGGACAGUAGUUCCAAAUAGCUGGAAAAUGGCACUUUCAGUUUUUCCAUCCUGCAAGAUCUAAAUAAUUCUUGUCGUAAAAUGGGCAAAUGGUCUGAGGUGCCUGAUGUCCAGGCAUUCUUUUACACAUCAGUCCCUUCCUAGUCUCUGUGCCCAGUGCAACUCAUCCCAAAUCUUCCUUCUUUCCCUCCCACCUGUCCCCUCAGUCCCAACCCCAAGCAUCGCUGAGUCUUUCUAAUCUUCCUUUUCUACAGACCCAUCUGACCUCUCCCCUCCUCGCCAGGCCAAGCUAGGUCCCAAUUCUUCCUCAGCCUCCGCUCCUCCACCCUGUAAUCUUUUUAUCGCCUCCCCUCCUCACACCUGGUCUGGCUUACAGUUUCGUUCAGUGACUAGCCCUUCCCCACCUGCCCAGCAAUUUAUUCUUAAAAAGGUGGCUGGAGCUAAAGGCAUAGUCAAGGUUAAUGCUCCUUUUUCUUUAUCCCAAAUCAGAUAGCGUCUAGGCUCUUUUUCAUCAAAUAUAAAAAUCCAGCCCAGUUCAUGACUCGUUUGGCAGCAACCCUGAGACGCUUUACAGCCCUAGACCCUAAAAGGUCAAAAGGCCAUCUUAUUCUCAAUAUACAUUUUAUUGCCCAAUCUGCUCCCGACAUUAAAUAAAACUCCAAAAAUUGGAAUCUGGCCCUCAAACCCCACAACAGGACUUAAUUAACCUCACCUUCAAGGUGUGCAAUAACAGAAAAAAGUUGCAAUUCCUUGCCUACACUGUGAGACAAACCUCAGCCACAUCUCCAGCACACAAGAACUUCCAAACACCUGAACUGCAGCAGCCAGGCAUUCCUCCAGAACCUCCUCCCCCAGGAGCUUGCUACACAUGCUGGAAAUCUGCCACUGGGCCAAGGAAUGCCCACAGCACGGUAUUCCUCCUAAGCCACGUCCCAUCUGUGUGGGACCCCACCGAAAAUCGGACUGUUCAUCUCACCUGGCAGCCACUCCCAGAGCCCCUGGAACUCUGGCCCAAGGCUCUCUGACUGACUCCUUCCCAGAUCUUCUCGGCUUAGCGGCUGAAGACUGACACUGCCCGAUCACCUCGGAAGCCCCCUAACCCAUCACAGACGCUGAGAUUUGGGUAACUCUCACGGUGGAAGGUAAGCCCGUCCCCUUCUUAAUACAGAGGCUACCCAUUCCACAUUACCUUCUUUUUAAGGGCCUGUUUCCCUUGCCUCCAUAACUGUUGUGGGUAUUGACGGCCAGGCUUCUAAACCUCUUAAAACUCCCCAACUCUGGUGCCAACUUAGACAAUACUCUUUUAAGCACUCCUUUUUAGUUAUCCCCACUUGCCCAGUUCCCUUAUUAGGCUGAGACACUUUAACUAAAUUAUCUGCUUCCCUGACUAUUCCUGGACUACAGCUAUAUCUCAUUGCCACCCUUCUUCCCAAUCCAAAGCCUACUUUGCGUCCUCCUCUUGUAUCCCCCCACCUUAACACAGAAGUAUAAGAUACCUCUACUCCCUCCUUGGCAACCGAUCAUGCACCCCUUACCAUCUCAUUAAAACCUAAUCACCCUUACCCCGCUCAAUGUCAAGAUCCCAUCCCACAGCACACUUUAAAAGGAUUAAAGCCUGUUAUCACUCGCCUGCUAUAGCAUGGCCUUUUAAAGCCUAUAAACGCUUCUUACCAUUCCCCCAUUUUACCUGUCCUAAAACCAGACAAGACUUACAAGUUAGUUCAGAAUCUGCGCCUUAUCAACCAAAUUGUUUUGCCUAUCCACCCCGUGGUGCCAAACCCAUAUACUCUCCUAUCCUCAAUACCUCCCUCUACUACCCAUUAUUCUGUUCUAGAUCUCAAACAUGCUUUCUUUACUAUUCCUUUGCACCCUUCAUCCCAGCCUCUCCUUGCUUUCACUUAGACUGACCCUGACACCCAUUAGGCUCAGCAAAUUACCAAGGCUGUACUGCCGCAAGGCUUCACAGACAGCCCCCAUUACUUCAGUCAAGCCCAAAUUUCAUCCUCAUCUGUUACCUAUCUCGGCAUAAUUCUCAUAAAAACACACAUGCUCUCCCUGCUGAUCGUGUCCGAUUAAUCUCCCAAACCUCAAUCCCUUACAAAACAACAACUCCUUUCCUUCCUAGGCAUGGUUAGUGCGGUCAGAAUUCUUACACAAGAGCCAGCACCGCACCCUGCAGCCUUUCUGUCCAAACAACUUGACCUUACUGUUUUAGCCUAGCCCUCAUGUCUGCAUGCAGCGGCUGCCACUGCUUUAAUACUUUUAGAGGCCCUCAAAAUCACAAACUAUGCUCAACUCACUCUCUACAUUUCUCAUAACUUCCAAAAUCUAUUUUCUUCCUCAUACCUGACGCAUAUACUUUCUGCUCCCCGGCUCCUUCAGCUGUACUCACUCUUUGUUAAGUCCCACAAUUACCAUUGUUCAUGGCCAGGACUUCAAUCCAGCCUCCCACAUUAUUCCAGAUACCACACCUGAUCUUCAUGACUGCAUCUGUCUGAUCCACCUGAUGUUCAUCCCAUUUCCCCACAUUUCCUUCUUCCCUGCUUCUCACCCUGAUCACGCUUGAUUUACUGAUGGCAGUUCCACCAGGCCUAAUCACCAUACACCAGCAAAGGCAGGCUAUGCUAUAGUACAAGCCACUAGCCUGCCUCUUAGAACCUUUCAUUUCCUUUCCAUCAUAGAAAUCUAUCCUCAAGGAAAUAACUUCUCAGUGUUCCAUCUGCUAUUCUAUCUGCUAUUCUACUACUCCUCAAGGAUUAUUCAGGCCCCCUCCCUUCCCUACACAUCAAGCUCGAGGAUUUGUCCCUGCCCAGGACUGGCAAAUUAGCUUUACUCAACAUGCCCUGAGUCAGAUAACUAAAAUACCUCUUAGUCUAAGUAGACACUUUCACUAGAUAGGUAGAGGCCUUUCCUACAGGGUCUGAGAAGGCUACCGCAGUCAUUUCUUCCCUUCUGUCAGACAUAAUUCCUCAGUUUAGCCUUCCCACCUCUAUACAGUCUGAUAACAGACCAACCUUUAUUAGUCAAAUCAGCCAAGCAUUUUUUCAGGCUCUUAGUAUUCAGUGACAGACUAAUGGUCUAUUAAAAACACACCUCACCAAGCUCAGCCACCAACUUAAAAAGGACUGGACAAUACUUUUACCACUUUCCCUUCUCAGAAGUCAGACCUGUCCUCAGAAUGCUACAAGGUACAGCCCAUUUAAGCUCCUGUAUAGAUGCUCCUUUUUAUUAGGCCCCAGUCUCAUUCCAGACACCAGACCAACUUAGACUGUGCCCCCAAAUAACUUGUCAUCCCUACUAUCUUCUCUCUAGUCAUACUCCUAUUCACCGUUCUCAACUACUCAUACAUGCCCUGCUCUUGUUUACACUGCUGGUUUACACUGUUUCUCCAAGCCAUCACAGCUGAUAUCUCCUUGUGCUAUCCCCAAACUGCCACUCUUAACUCUUGAAGUAAAUAAAUAAUCUUUGCUGGCAGGACUAUGACGAAGCUCUGUAGGCACUCUCUAAUUAGAUGUCCUAGGUCCUCCCAAUUCUUAGUCCUUUUAUACCUGUUUUUCUCCUUCUCUUAUUCCAUUUAGUUUUUCAAUUCAUACAAAACCGUAUCCAGGCCAUCACCAAUCAUUCUAUACGACAAAUGUUUCUUCUAACAACCCCACAAUAUCACCCCUUACCACAAAAUCUUCCUUCAGCUUAAUCUCUCCCACUCUAGGUUCCCACACCACCCCUAAUCCCGCUUGAAGGAGCCCUGAGAAACAUCGCCCAUUCUCUCUCCAUACCGCCCCCCAAAAAUUGUCGCCGACCCAACGCUUCAACACUAUUUUGUUUUAUUUUUCUUAUUAAUAUAAGAAGGCAGGAAUGUCAGGCCUCUGAGCCCAAGCCAGGUCAUUGCAUCCCCUGUGACUUGCACAUAUAUGCCCAGAUGGCCUGAAGUAACUGAAGAAUCACAAAAGAAGUGAAAAGGCCCUGCCCCGC
rnacentral:lncRNA from 10 species